rnacentral:rRNA from 1 species
GAUGAACGCUAGCGAUAGGCCUAACACAUGCAAGUCGGGGGGCAUCACAUGAAGUAGCAAUACGGAUGGUGGCGACCGGCGCACGGGUGAGUAACGCGUAUGCAACCUACCUACAACAGGGGAAUAACUCGUUGAAAGACGGACCAAUACCCCAUAAUACAGGGAUCCCGCAUGGGAAUAUUUGUUAAAGAUUUAUCGGUUGUAGAUGGGCAUGCGUUCCAUUAGCUAGUUGGUGAGGUAACGGCUCACCAAGGCAACGAUGGAUAGGGGAACUGAGAGGUUUAUCCCCCACACUGGUACUGAGACACGGACCAGACUCCUACGGGAGGCAGCAGUGAGGAAUAUUGGUCAAUGGACGCAAGUCUGAACCAGCCACGUCGCGUGAAGGAAGACGGCCCUACGGGUUGUAAACUUCUUUUGUAAGGGAAUAAAGUGUAGUACGUGUACUAUUUUGCAUGUACCUUACGAAUAAGGAUCGGCUAACUCCGUGCCAGCAGCCGCAGUAA